rnacentral:rRNA from 1 species
GGAGGGACGCACUUAUUAGUUUUAAGAUCGACAUACCUUGGUUGAUCCAUGAUAUUUGCACGGAUCGCACGGUUUUAUGCCGGCGACKUUUCAUUCGAAUUUCUGCCCUAUCAAUUUACGAUGGUACGGUAGUGGCGUACCAUGAUUUUUACGGGUGACGGAGGAUUAGGGUUUGAUUCCGGAGAGGGAGCCUUAGAGACGGCUACCACAUCCAAGGAAGGCAACAGGCGCGAAAAUUACCCAAUGCAGACACUGUGAGGUAGUGACGAUAAAUAACAAUGUUGGGCUUUAAAAGUUUGGUAAUUGGAAUGAGAACAUUUUAAACAUCUUACCGAGGAUCUAUUGGAGGGCAAGUCUGGUGCCAGCAGCCGCGGUAAUUCCAGCUCCAAUAGCGUAUAUUUAAGUUGUUGCGGUUAAAAAGCUCGUAGUCGUAUUUCGGGCGUGCCCGCUGGUCCGUUCUUCGAGAAUGUGUAUCGGUGCGGCGCGUCUUGUUGCACGAAACGCGCUUCUGGGCUUCACUGCUCGGGACGUGGGUCGUGCGUUGUUACUUUGAGUAAAUUAGAGUGUUUAAAGCAG